AUUCCAGCUCCAAUAGCGUAUAUUAAAGUUGUUGCAGUUAAAAAGCUCGUAGUUGGAUUUGGGACUGGAGUCGUCGGGUCGGCCGCGAGGUCUGUUACUUGGCGGCUCUGUCAUUACAAUUCCCUGGGACCUGUCGUGUGCUUCGCUGUACGCGGCACGGGACUUGGGACGUUUACUUUGAAAAAAUUAGAGUGUUCAAAGCAGGCUUUUUAAGCCCGAAUACAUGAGCAUGGAAUAAUGGAAUAGGAUUGCGGUUCUAUUUUGUUGGUUUCUACGACCGCAGUAAUGAUUAAGAGGGACAAUUGGGGGCAUCCGUAUUUCGUUGUCAGAGGUGAAAUUCUUGGAUUUACGAAAGACGAACAACUGCGAAAGCAUUUGCCAAGAGUGUUUUCAUCG
rnacentral:rRNA from 1 species